rnacentral:rRNA from 1 species
UACAGAGGGUGCAAGCGUUAAUCGGAAUUACUGGGCGUAAAGCGCACGUAGGUGGCUUGAUAAGUUGGGUGUGAAAUCCCCGGGCUUAACCUGGGAAUUGCAUUCAAGACUGUCUUGCUAGAGUGUGGAAGAGGGAAGCGGAAUUCCAGGUGUAGCGGUGAAAUGCGUAGAUAUCUGGAGGAACAUCAGUGGCGAAGGCGGCUUCCUGGUCCAACACUGACACUGAGGUGCGAAAGCGUGGGGAGCAAACAGGG